UGCCAGUCAAGUUCCUGGCAGGAGUCCAGCUCACAGCUGGCUCCAGACUCUAGCCAGGGGCUUGACUUCAA
ensembl:miRNA